AGGAAAUCUCUGUCUGGCUGCCACCCUGAAUGAUUCAGCCGGAUUCCUGGAGAGGUGGAGGUGCCCUUGAAGCUAUGCGCACUACCCCUACCUUCCCCCGAAGCCAUGGCACAGGCCUGUACCUGAGGUAACAGCUUCUGGAACUGAGACAAUCGAGUGGAAAGGAAACUGAGGGGGUGCCCGGCUCUCUCCACUGGCAGCAUCAAGCAUGCUCAGGAGGAAGGUCAUCAAACACAACGAAAAACUGAGAAACCGUCACAGCCUAGAGAAGCCUAAGGAGACAUGAUGACUAAAUGUACUGUGGUAUUCUAGAUGGAAUGCCGGAACAGAGAGAAGAUGUUAGGUGAAAACUCAGGAAAUCUGAAUAAAUUAUGGAUUUCA